rnacentral:rRNA from 1 species
ACUCAAAUGAAUUGACGGGGACCCGCACAAGCGGUGGAACAUGUGGUUUAAUUCGAAGCAACGCGAAAAACCUUACCAGGGCUUGACAUCUAACAAACCUCAGCGAAAGUUGAGGGUGCUCUUCGGAGAAUGUUAAGACAGGUGGUGCACGGUUGUCGUCAGCUCGUGUCGUGAGAUGUUGGGUUAAGUCCCGCAACGAGCGCAACCCUCGUCGUUAGUUGCAUAUGGUGGUACACUGCCAUAGUGCUCUCUAGCGAGACUGCCGGUGAUAAACCGGAGGAAGGUGAGGAUGACGUCAAAUCAUCAUGCCCCUUAUGCUCUGGGCUACACACGUGUUACAAUGGCUGGUACAACGAGCUGCCAACUCGCGAGAGUGAGCAAAUCUCUUAAAACCAGUCUCAGUUCGGAUUGCAGUCUGUAACUCGACUGCAUGAAGUCGGAAUCGCUAGUAAACGCAGAUCAGCAUGCUGCGUUGAAUACGUUCCCGGGUCUUGCACACACCGCCCGU